rnacentral:rRNA from 2 species
UGGCGGCACUAGCGCGGUGGUCCCACCUGACCCCAUGCCGAACUCAGAAGUGAAACGCCGUAGCGCCGAUGGUAGUGUGGGGUCUCCCCAUGCG